AGCGGCGGACGGGUGAGUAAUGCUUAGGAAUCUGCCUAUUAGUGGGGGACAACAUUCCGAAAGGAAUGCUAAUACCGCAUACGUCCUACGGGAGAAAGCAGGGGAUCUUCGGACCUUGCGCUAAUAGAUGAGCCUAAGUCGGAUUAGCUAGUUGGUGGGGUAAAGGCCUACCAAGGCGACGAUCUGUAGCGGGUCUGAGAGGAUGAUCCGCCACACUGGGACUGAGACACGGCCCAGACUCCUACGGGAGGCAGCAGUGGGGAAUAUUGGACAAUGGGGGGAACCCUGAUCCAGCCAUGCCGCGUGUGUGAAGAAGGCCUUAUGGUUGUAAAGCACUUUAAGCGAGGAGGAGGCUACUCUAGUUAAUACCUAGGGAUAGUGGACGUUACUCGCAGAAUAAGCACCGGCUAACUCUGUGCCAGCAGCCGCGGUAAUACAGAG
rnacentral:rRNA from 1 species